CGAAAAUGCUAAAUGGCACUAGCCACAAAGUAUUCUUGGUUUGGAAUUUUUUUUCCAGGACCCUAAAUGUAACCGGCUGGAAUUCUUUCCCAAGUGCCAUGCUACUUACUACUGGUUGCCCUCACGAGCAUGGAAAUGCCGUCGUGAAUAUGGAACACAGCAUCCUGAGCUAAAAGAUUCCCAAGAAGCAGCUUCAUCUUGCAGGACGGGCUAGGUUGGGAGCCUCUGGAGGUUCCUGGCUGCCAGCUCCGCGGAGGCCUGCGGCCUGGAGCCCUCCCGUUACUGACCACCUCGAGGGCACCGUUCCUCCAAGCUGACCAUUUCCUGCCAGUCACCCACUGCCCAGCUCGCCCAGCCAUGGAGUGGGCUCUGGUCCACGUGCAUGGUGAGCUGCCAUCUUUGUCGUCCUCUGGACACCACGUCUACCUCCUUGGGAAAUAGAAACGAGUCCUGCAUUGCUUUGUCAAAUUUCACAAAAACCCUAGAAAGCAGAUAUUGCCCUGGUUUACAGACGGACAGACAGAAGCAAAGAGAAGCCAACUGACCCACUCCAGGUUACAAGCAGGGUCUGGUAGGAGAGCACGCGUCCACCCCACCGCUCACUGCGCCCACCUACUCCUCGCUUGAGGGCAGAGAACGAGCUGGGGCGGGGCGCUCCAGGGGGCACAGGCAGCCUGUGUUCAAGGCAUGCUCGUGAGCCCCACAGCAGGGGCGGAGUCAAACCAGGGCUCUGGUUCUGGGGUGAGCAGAGGGUGGGGCCAGGCCCCCACUGGGAGGCUGACUGAGGAGGGGCUCAAAGGGCAGGCAGGCUCCAUCAGAGCGGUUUGAUGAGCAGGGCCGCUGAGUGGCCCUCAGGUCAAGGCUGGGGCCGGGACCACCAGGGACCAGGUCUGCGGGGCCAGGGGUCCCUCCCCAGGGUGGAGCAGGAAAACUCCGGCAACCGCCUUCUUGAGUGGACUUGACCUUCCCUUUCUCUGCUAAUGAUCUCAGAUUAAUCCCUUAAGGCAAGUGCCCCAGGGUGGGUGUUGGUUGCAUAAAACAAGAGGAGUCCUUCUUCCCUUCCUUCCUGGCACAAACAUUUGUAGGCCACCCCCGAUGUGGCUGGUCGUAGUCUGGAUUUGGGGGCACAUUCAGGCAUUCAACAAAUACGUCAUGAGGCCCCGUGAUGAGCUGGGGGGCUAUGCUUGAUGUCGGCAGUACAGCUGUGGUCGCUCGAAUGAAUGUGCCCGCCCUCACGGGACUGACCUCUAGUGGUGAGAGACAGACACUAACCGAGUCACAUGUGUGAUUACACGUGUAAUCAUACUUACAUAUGUAACAACACGAGUUACACGUGCAGUGUGGGGAGGGGGCCCUUCACGGUGACCAGCCCAUCAGGGAAGGGGAUGCGGGUGGCAGAAGGAAGCGGCACACCCUUGUCCUCACGGAGCUCACAGGAGGUUCUCUGACCCUCAUCUUAAGCCACAGGCUGUGUCUGAGCCUCACUGCCCUAGCUAUCAACUGGGUGCAGGACUAGGCCUUAAUCACUGGGCAGCGGGAAGAACUACAUAAGCUCAUACUGGCGCAAAGCCCCUUGGGAGACCGCAGGGAAAGCCAUUGCAUGAGGUGGUGACAGGCUCGGCCUUCAGAGUCGGGCUAGAAUCUGAGUUCUGACAAUGAUCCCCGCCUUGACCCAUCUCUCCUCAGGCCGCCCUGAGCCUUCCAGUUAGGCCUGGGCUUUGGGCUUCCGUGUUUGUCUCUGGAUUGUUCGGUUUUAGCAAGAGUCCUGCUAAAUUGGUCUUGCUGGAAUCCUCCGCCCUCCACAUCUGAUUGCCCUUCCUGUCUGAUCGUGGUCUUCAUGCCCCACGGCCUCCAGGGGACGUCUGAUCACCUGGCCUGCCUUCAGCAAGAAUCCCCCCAGGUGUUUCCUCUUAAGAGGUUUUCCAUCCACUGAGCCCACCCUGCUCCUUGGCCAUCAAUUCCCACUUGCCUGUACUGUAUUCAGAGGGGACCCCAAUCUCUCUUCCCAGCUGCAGCGGUCCCUGUCCAACACUGCCCCCCACCUCAAAUAAAGUCUUUCUUACUGUCUUUAACAUAUGCCGUCAAUAAAGUUUUAGCAGAUCCAAUUCCCUGCUCUGUGAUCUUAGGCAAGUUACCUAACGUGUCUGGGCCUCAGGAUCCUCAGCUGAAAAAUGAGAUAAAUGCCACUCCAUAGGAUUGUCGGGAGACUAAAUGAAAAAAAAAAAUAAUGCAACA
rnacentral:lncRNA from 1 species